AGCAAGGGUGCUCAGACCGUUUUUGCACCCGGAGGUUGCAGGAAGUCUAGACACCGCAUAGAACAGUAUGUGUUCCCUGCAGACUUCAAGAAAGAUUUCCGUUUCAGAGAUCUGAGGGGCCAUGGAACUUCCAAUGCCCAGCCAUAGCCAUGUAACAACUGGGCAUCCCUGGACGUUUUUCUGGUCACCAUUGCAUUUUUAGAGGCACUGAGUACAUCAGAAGACUCUAAACUCUUUGAAAGGCCUCCAAACUGCAAGCAAUGAAUGGUGGUGGAUCCUGGGAUGGACAAGGUGUCACUCUAUUAUCUGAACAAUAUCUCUUUCAACUCCACACCAAAUCAUAUUUGUACAUAGGGUGAGGCCUGGAGGAGAGAGUGAAGAUGGAAUAUGCAGACAAAUAGUUCUACCUGCAGCAACUCUUAGGUGUUCAAUUACUAAAGAAGAGUCAACACUCAGAGAGCUGUGGGUGCUCAAGAACACUUUGACCACCGGCUAAUGGAUGCUGCAACCCGAUCACCCUCAUUCCACAGAAGAGGACAUGGAGGCCUACAGAGACUGAUUCGCUUGACUAAGUCAUAUUCAGGCAAGGGGUGGAACCUCCAUUCGAAGCCAGGCAGCCUGGAUCUGAAGUCUGUGGGCUUAAGCACCUGCUCUCACUGCCUGAAAUGUCCGUGCACUAGGUCUUCCAAGGAACAAAGAAAAACAUUACUUAUUUUUUAAACAUAAUAAAAUGCAUUGUAUCUUGUAAUCACCAUGUGGCACAAUUGAGCAAUUUAAAAAAUCCAGGACCCAUUAUGAAAUCUUCAUGAUCUAUUUUUACCUAUACCUUGAACAUUUUCUAUUUUAUAAACUUAGGAAUUAUUUCAUUAUUAUUCGUCAAUUAUUCCCAACAAUGCCAAAAAAGACUAAAAUAAUAAAAAAUGGAAUAGUGAUGAAUUGUCUAGAAGGAUGAUGCAAUUGUAAAAUUGUAAUAAAAAUCAGCAUUAUCUCAUGUGUUGUCCCACAUGUUGAGUACAUAUUGCAUCAUCAUUCAAGAAGGCAUAAAAGAAGUUUAAAGACAUUUAUAUGGUCUACUUUUAGUUUCACUGAACACAGUUUAGAAUUUAGAAUUUUUUUCCAUCCAUAACCACAAAGAGAAGCAAAUUGAUAGAGGAAGAUGUUUCAGUGAUUAGACAAAUCAGAAGAUGAAUGCAAAAAAGACUAAUAACAGUAUGCUAAACUCUAAUGAUUAGGGAAAUUGAAAAUGAUCAGUCAAGUGAAAUCUCAUUUCAUGAAUCUUCAAAUGACAAUGUAUUUUCUCAAAUUCAAGAAUCAAGUGAGCAAUACAUUUCAAAGAGUGAAACAGGAAAUAUGGCAUCUUCAUUCGGUUAGUCCUUCAAUCGGAAGGACUUUAUCAUGCAAUAUUUUGUGGCAAGAACAUGAACCAUUUAAUUUUGUUAAAAGGGUAUGUACAAUACUCUUUCAUCUUUUAUAAAUUCAGUGUGCCAAAAUUUAUGGUUUUUAAAUAUACAAAUGCUGAAGAAAUGUGAAGACAGGUAUCAGAAGGCAUUUGCUAAUGUAUAAAUAAAAAAUCAUUGGGUUUAUCAUUCUAAUUAAUGCUUACAAAUUUAAAUAUGAAAACAGUUUGCACAUAUGAAAUAAAAAUUACAUAAUUUUUCAACAAAAAAAUGAGCCAUCAUAGAUUUCAAAAAUUCAACUGUUGCAUUUUGAUGAUGUAAUUAAUAAUAUACUAGAACCUAGUAAAUAUGAGUUUGAAAUCUGGAAUUAGUACUUAUAAAUAAAUACAGUGCAAUUUUAUUCAUGAUAGCUGAUGAGCGGUCAGUUUUUUUUUUCUGAAAAUGUUUCCAAUUUGGAGUAUAUGAACCUUUGAUAUUAGGAAAAAAUGGAAUAAUAAUGAAUAACAUUAGUGAAAUGAAAUAAACAUUUAGCCUUGCUAUGUUUAAGUUCUUAUGAAAAUUUUGCUAUCUUUUUAUUAUUACUUCUGUAACAAUUUUUUAAGUGGUUCAAAAUAUUUAAAAAACAACAACAUUAAGAAGUCCAAGUGGUAUUUGAAGAUCAUUAUUUAUUCCUAGUAUACUGAGAUUAACAUGUACAUUUUCUGAGCCUCUAUUGCAUACUUAUCAAGUUACCCUUAGUUAUAAAAUGAUUUAUGACAUCUUAUCUCUUUUCUGGACUGUCAACUUGCUGAAGGAAUUCAACAAAUAGAAUUGAGUAUACAUCAAAACUCCCAAAUAUUUUGUUCUGUGAAAAUAAAUGGAUGUUUGGAACUAAAGUGAGUAUAUUUUUAUGAGGCAGUCUUUUUUGGAGGAGAGGAAAGUAUGGCUGAAUCGUACGAAAUCUUCUCCAAUACAGCCAAUUGAGUUCUACAAUUCAUUGGAUUAAACCAUUAAAUAACAGUUAAUAUAAUGCAAUUACAUUUGUCCUCUUAUCAGCGGGAUCAAACCAGAAAUUCAGUUAUAUGCCACUGAAUUUUAAGAAAAGGAUCUUUUUUUAAAAAUAUAUUUUAUUGAUUUUUUACAGAGAGGAAGGGAGAGAGAUAGAGAGUUAGAA